UGGUAGAGCGCUCGCUUAGCAUGCGAGAGGUACGGGGAUCGAUACCCCGCAUCUCCACUACCGUUGUUUUUCGUUUUGAAUAUUGUUAUUAUUUUUCAGUAUUAAAAAUUUAAACCGACGGUUCGGACGGUUUUAAUUAUGUGAAAUAAAUACAAUGAUACAGAUCCAGAAUUUCCAAUACGAAACUCGUUUUCCAGCCUUUGCUAUGCUUGGGCGCUAAGAAACUUUCGCUCGAAUUUUCCAUCAGGCAUCUCAUUUUCUCUGUUAUUUCCCUCCCAAAUUUCAAUACACAAUUCUCAUUUUAUCUAUUUUGCCAAAUCGAUGCGGAUUUUCCUGCCUCAAGCUAUGCAUUUUUGGGAACGAUUUGAUUUUCUUGAUACUGGUUUGCCUUCCAUAAAAUUAUAAGAUCCGUUUAAUCGACGAAAUUCUUAGCAUCUUCGACUUGCUAGCUAGAUCGUUAAUCUCUCUUGGAUCUGUUAAUUUUUCACUCCUAAUUCCAUACUUGCUUCGAUUAUGUUGUUUGAUUUGUACAUGGAAGAAUUAAAACAAAUGUAAGAAGUUCGUAAGAAUCAGAAACACAUAAAACACUUCUUUGA